rnacentral:rRNA from 1 species
GUGUCAGCCGCCGCGGUAAUACGGAGGGUGCAAGCGUUGUUCGGAAUCAUUGGGCGUAAAGCGCGUGUAGGCGGCUUUUUAAGUUUGGUGUGAAAGCCCGGGGCUUAACCCCGGAAGUGCACUGAAUACUGAUUAGCUAGAGGGUGAGAGAGGAUAGUGGAAUUCCUGGUGUAGGGGUGAAAUCCGUAGAUAUCAGGAGGAACAUCUGUGGCGAAGGCGGCUAUCUGGCUCACUUCUGACGCUGAGACGCGAAAGCGUGGGGAGCAAACAGGAUUAGAAACCCUCGUAGUCC